ACUCAUUUUAAAUGGCUCAAUUGUACUGUUUGUGAAUUAUAUGUCAAUAAAGCCACUUAAAAUAAAUUAAAAAUUUUGGAUGCAGGAGCGCCUGGGUGGCUCAGUGGUUGAGUGUCUGCCUUUGGCUCAGGUCAUGAUCCCAGGAAUCCUUGGAUGAAUCCCACAUCGGGUUCCCUGCAGGGAGCCUGCUUCUCCCUCUGCCUGUGUCUCUGCCCUUCUCUCUGUGUCUCUCAUGAAUAAAUAAAUAAAAUCUUAAAAAAAUUUUUUUUGGAUGCAAAAAAACUAAUUUUGCCUGUUUAUUUUAGACUUUUAACAGUGUGGCUCCUAGGAAAUUUAAAAUCAUUUAAGUGGUUAGCAUCAUAUUCUGUUAAACCCUCUGGGCUAAGGAAACCAAGACUGAAGAGACUGGGGGAACCCAGGGCUAGUGCUGCCCAAAGUCCUAACCACAGGGGGGGUGACCAGCCAGAAACGUUCACCCUUGGUGCAGGGCGACAAUGAACGAGGGGUGAGGGGGAACCUGACCUGGAAGGUUCGGGGGUGUUGAGGAUAAGAACUCCAGGGCCCGGUCAGGCGUCUGUACCAAGUGCCAGCACGUGGGACCGAGGAGCAGACCAGGAUUUCCGGUCCCUAGACAAACAGGGGGGCUAUCUUUAAUCACCCCUGGGGAGAUACCUACCAACCUAGCCAUGGCAAAAGCGGUGUUCUUUCCCAGGUGGCGGCCCCAGCUGCUGCGCUCUGUUCUGCAGACUCUGGGGCUGAUGGGGGCCCAGGCUGGACUCACCUGUAGCACAGUUGCAUACCUGGAGCCCGGCCUUGGUGAGAUGCAGACGCAGACAGCAGCCCUGCCCCUAUCCUGGAGGAUGGAAGCUUCUUCAAGGAGGACUGGCCAAGGGAGUUUGGUCUGUUUACAAAGGGCCAUAAACAAACCUGGUGUUAGAGGUUUUGCUGAUUGCAGCAUAAAGGGAAGCCUUGGGUGCCUGGUGUCCUCUCUAACUGAGGCUUCCUUCCGAUCCAGUUACCCUCCCACUCCCCAAAAAGCAUAAGAGUGCGUCAGAGGACACAGCCUGGUGGACGUCGGAUAAGGAAGCUACACUUAGGGCCUCCCCAGAGAAAGGAUCCCAUGACUCAUUUCUGGAGACCAGAGAGAUAAUGGGGCUGAGGGACACACUGGGGUGAAUCAGCCAGAGGAGUUGUAGCCCCAAAGGCCUAGUUCUGGAGGAGAGGUCAGUAGCCUAGAAAGGGGAGAAAACAUCAAAUGCACUGUACGCAGCGCAAAGUGAGUAUUUGGCCGAAAUAUGUCCUGACAUUUUGCCACCACUGCCGUAGACUUCAUUUUCCUCAAGACUGAGAGAAAGUUUCCGUGGACAGCGUGGUGGCAAGCAAAGGAAAUGGGGUAGGCACAGAUCAUGGACCUCGGGGCACGGUCUGGGCAGAGUAAGAUCUGCUCUCUUGCCCUGAUGAAGUAACAGCAGAAAGUUAAACGUGUUCCA
rnacentral:lncRNA from 1 species